rnacentral:rRNA from 1 species
UGUAAGCGUAUACCAAAGUUGUUGCAGUUAAAACGCUCGUAGUCGGAAUUUGGCAGUUCCGGAUGUGUGCACGUCGUGUGCGCACUUCGCGGGGAUUGCUUUUGUGGUCUUGCGUAGGAUGAGGCACUUUUAUUAGUGAACGUCCUCACGCAACCACUUUUUACUGUGAGAAAAUCAGAGUGCUCAAAGCAGGCAUUUGCCGUGAAUGUAUUAGCAUGGAAUAAUAGAAUAGGACUUGUUUCUAUUUUGUUGGUUUGUUGGGACUGAGUAAUGAUUAAGAGGGACAGUUGGGGGCAUUUGUAUUUCGGUGCUAGAGGUGAAAUUCUUAGAUUACCGAAAGACAAACUGCUGCGAAAGCGUCUGCCAAGGAUGUUUUCAUUGA